UAUUUGUAAAAUGUAUUAGCUGUCCAUCUUACCACAAGGCAACUCUGGGAUUAUCCUUGGUUUGCAUUUUUUUUAUCUUUAUAUCCUUAAAAAAAAAUAGUAUUUAACAAAAUGUGGCCAUUGCAUUUAGCAAUAGUAGCUUCAACAGUCCCAAUUGUCAUUAAGCAAGGACAGUGCAGGUUGUUAAAUGAGCAGCCCAUAUGAUCGUGAAUUAUGACUUUCUUCUGGCUGACUUCCUGCCAGCUGUCAUCACUCAGCUGAAUUUCUCUCAUAGGAUAAUUCUGUUUAAUGAUACUAUAAAGAGUCAAAGAUGACAUAUUUUGUCAUCAGGUGGGUAAAAAUAAUGUCUCGUCACUGUUUAGUUGACUUGGAAACUGAGUCUAGACAGCCUUGUUGACAGAGCUUAGCAUGUGGUAGCCAUUCCUUGUUCAAUUAAGCCAGCUGAUCCUGUUUCUGAAAUAAUUUGGGUAACUUUAUGUUUGCAUGAAUAGUAGCUGCAGCCCUUAUUCAGGCAUUUGAAAAUGGCCUGAUUUAAGCCAGUCAGAUCUUUAUUCUCAUUAUUAUUAUUAUUUUAACAGCAAGUGGCUGGUUUCUUGAAAAGGUAGAAAUUACAACAAAUGAACUCUACAGCUUUAACUGUAACAGAUGGCUGGCUGAAGAUGAAAAUGAUGGCCGCACAGUAGUACAGCUUUACAUAUAAUUUUCUGAAACCUAUUUGAAUGUGUUUUCCCCUUCACUUCAAGCUGAUUCAGUUUAUUUGUAUAUCCUAAUUAUGAAAGAACUAUAAUUAUCAUGAAGCAAUAUCAAAACAAUUUAUCACAUUUUAAUAAUUCCAUUGAGAAUGAUUCUAAGCAUUCUAAAUACCUUUAUUCAAUUAUAGAAUAAAAGAAAUCCAUUGUUCUGUAUGUCUUAGUAUCACUGAUACUGUCACAACAUUUAAAAUUGACAGGUUUUUUUUUUACAUAGGAAAAAUAAAAGGCAAUUUAUGUCAGUCAUGAGCAAGCACAUAAUGAAAUCGUUUAUUGGAAGUUUAUUUUUAUAUAAAUGAAAGUACUUUCUUGGUAAUACCAUACACAAGUAGCUUAUUCUACAAAAGGCAAAAUAUUUUUGAAAUGGAAAACUCUAGCAAGAUAUCAUAAGAAACCACAUGAAAUAUUUGCCUUAUAAAGAAUACUUUUGAAGCCAAAUCCCAAGAAGACUCACUGAACUGUGUGUUCUCAUCCUCAUAUUAAUGGUGCCAGUACUUAUAUUGUGUGUGUAUCAGAAGGUAGGAAGAGAGGUAAAUAUUUCUUUCUUAUGUCUAUAAAUAGUCUUAUUAAAUUGUGAAAAAUGGCAUAUCAUUUUUUGAUAAAAUUGAAAUUUAUAAUGAUAGAAGGAGCUAAGAAGCUUUUAUGCAAUAAUUUGUCAAGAUACACAGUUGAAAUAACCAAAUAAUGAGAAAUCAAUCAGAAAAAUUUAUAGGUUUUAUAAAAAGCUAUAAAAAUGUAUGCUUUAUUUUAAUGUACAUUCAUUUUGAAAAUAAAGAACUCCUUGUCAAAAUGCUUAUCAAUAAUAUUCUUAUAUAUAACAAUAAAUAAUUUAUAAUGGUACUAUGUUAAAAAUAACAAGUUAGUAUUUUCUGAUUGAACAAGGAAAUGGUUUAAUUAAGUUUUACUAAAAAGUCUAUAUUUCUGCUUGUAUCGCUAGGAAAGAUACAGAAAUGAAUGUAAAUUGUGAUCCCUAGAGUGAAGAAAUGAGUUUAGUCUGUAUCCAUAUUCAUUAGAAUCACUUUACACUUUUCUUCUAAUGUGUCUUUCAUUAAUUGUUUGCAAUAUGAACUUACCCUGAUGCCAUUUCUAGUAUAUCAAGUGUAAAUAAUACUAACUUACUUCAUUUACUUCAAUAAUACUCAGUAACAUAUUUCAGCAGUUUAUUUGGUCCUUUUGUCCUAUUUUGUACUAUUUAAAAUGAGGCCCUGGAAAUAUAUAACAUACUGUUGAAUGAUUUUUCAAAAAGCAGUUCAAACAGUAUUUGCAAAACCCACAGGGGAAAUUUUAACCGGAGCUCCAUUUUGCUGACCUAAAGCAAAAGAUUCCUGGAAAUUGAGCAGGUGAGGUCAGUUUCAAUAGAAGACAGAUCAGUUUAUAUACAAGAUUUAUAUUCAUUAUUUUCUUAAUUUCCAUUUAAAGCCAUAACAUUUUACCAUAUAUUGGUAAAUAUAUACCAUAUAUUGAGAUCUUUCUGAGAAUAGGACAAUAAUAUCAAUUUUAUCCAGUUGUUUUAUGAUUAGUGUAUUGAUAAAACUACCGAGAGGGUAAUUUCUCAUGAAAUGGUUUAUUAUGUGAAAAUUGCAAUCUACAACUUAAAUUGAUCUCCAUAACAUGGCUGUAAUUGCAGACUAGAACAGCUAUACUAUCAUACAGGUGACUUAGUUCAAAAUCGUUCUGCGUCUUUGGUUAUAUAUUUCUGAAUAGUCAGAUUUUCCAAAAGUAUUCAGACUGAGUUUUGAUUUAUUAAUUUAUUAGUUUAAUUAAUAAACUUUGGCAACAAGAUUAUAUGGGAUCCAUUGAUUUAUUUUUGUGAGUGAAUUACAUAGUUAGGACAGCUUUAAAUAUACUAAAUAUGUGCCUAUUUGCUGUGGGACUCAUGUUACCUCAUAACAAAGAGUACAGAUCAGUCAUGCUACAACUCAUAACAAAUAAUCUAUGGAAAGGUAAAGGUAAAUCCAAUAUUUACUUAAAAAGAGGACAUGCUUACUAUUGAAGUAUCAAAUGAACAGUGAGCAGUGCAUUGUUUCUGUCAGGAAUGGUCUUCUCUACCUCACCCGGGCACAUGCUGACUCAUGUAAUUUUGUUAUAUUGCAUGUAAAAAAGCACUCUAGCUAAGGUUUACAUCUAAAUCAUGAAUAAAAAAUGUGGCUAUCUAGUUGUUGAAUUACAACUUCCAGCAUUGUUAUUGUGGCUCAGAUACAUCUGAUGUGGCAUAUAUUUUUUUCCUAUGAAACACUGAUAUUGGAUAUUAUUGAAAGAUAACUUGAAAAAGAAAAAGAAAAAAACCCCACCUGAACCACAAGAUGGGCAGCAAAUAAGUAUGAUAAAUAAACAAACAGAUUUUAAAAAUCAAAUAUGUAUUCCAAUAGUUUCCAUGGCUUCCUUUGCAACCUUGAAAAAACAAAAGCCAUUAUUUCAACUUCAUUUUGGAUUUUUUUUAUUUUUGCAAAUGUUGAUUAUUUUCACAAUUUUGACUGAUGUUUGCAGCCAUUCUGAUUAGAUAUUAUUUAUAUAAAAAAUCACCCUUGACUUAUGAAAUUCUUGUAUUUAUCUUCAACAUUCAAUAAAUAUAUAAAAUAAUGAUAACUUUCAUGAAAUAAAGUAGUAUAUGCAUAUUUGUAAAAAUUACUGUCAGCAAGAUUAAUUCAACAAGAUUGGAAUGAAAAAUAUUUUGUUAUAUUAGUGCAUAAAAAUUAAGACAUGUUAUUGAAUGACAUUUUUUGAGAAUUCGUUGUGAAAAAUUAAAGGCUAAAAUCUUGACCUGCUCUUAAUUUGAAAUAAAUUGCUUUGAUAUUCA